CCUGUCCCUUGAGGCCAUUACAAGUGUGGCUGCUGUGUCCCAUGUGCGUCAGUAGGUGGCAGAGAGGAGAGAGGCUGUGUCUAGUAUGGUGUACAGGGAGCUAGCCUGUGACGACCACAGGUCCAGCAUUGCACA